UAAUUUCCGUAAUAUUGGUAGCAUUGGUGGUCCUUGGGGGUGUAUUCAAUUUUAACUACAGCUUGAAACAUAGAAGCUCAGUCGGAGCUGUGGAAAUUUUCUUACUUCGAAAUCUGAAUGUAAGUGACUACCUACGGGAUGGCUGCCCGGAAUUCGAUUCCCAGCAGAGGCUGAGAAUUUCCUCUGCCGCCACGUCCAGGUCGGCUCUGAGGCCCACCCAACUUCCUCUCCGACGGGUACUAGGGGCGAAGGGAUAGCUGCCGGCAGACGGAAUUCACCGUUCACCAAGGCAGCAUGGAACUGGUGUAUCUCACUGAAUUUGCCUUCAUUAAGGCACUCGACAACAGACAAGUUACCAACCUUGGAAAUGAAAUAACUACUGACAUUAAUACGGAGAUGACGUCUUCUGCAAUUCUGGACCGCGUAGUCUCCUAGAAAUUGACCAACGUUUUAUAGGAGCUUACGGCAGGCAGUGCCAGACUACAACGUGUGAGGUGUGACAAACCAGACGACACCCAUCUUCGUA